rnacentral:lncRNA from 1 species
CCUAGAUCUAGACCAGGAAGUGUUCACUGCUUUAUGGAAGACAUGGGAUCUUAGAAAAAGCAGAGAAAAGACACUCUUGGCCUUGUCUUAGGAAACAGGUUCCUGAAGAAGUGAUGCCUGUAGGGAAGACAUGGAGUGGAUAUUACAUAGGAUGCAGGAGUCUCUGCGGAAAGAGGCAAGGGCAUAAAGAGGAGAUGUUACUGGGACUGAGUGAGAGACCUGACCCAGGAAAGACGGUGUUAGCUGCCCACUCAGUGAGCAACCAUCCUGCGGUGCAGACGACACUGCUUUGUCAUUGCCGCUGUAGCAUUCAGCAUCCCACUCCGGGCUGUCCAGCAUCAGACACCAUCCUGUGUCUGGGAGCAAUUCUGCUCACACUCAUGUGCUCAGACACAACCACGUAUGAAAUGGGUGCCCCAAGUCGGUCAUAUGACUAUGAACCCUAAUGGGAAUAAAAAUCUUUUGGAGAUA